CCUACGGGAGGCAGCAGUAGGGAAUAUUGGGCAAUGGACGCAAGUCUGACCCAGCCAUGCCGCGUGCAGGAUGACGGUUUUCGGAUUGUAAACUCCUUUUGUAUGGGGCGAUAAUGACGGUACCAUACGAAUAAGCCCCGGCUAACUCUGUGCCAGCAGCCGCGGUAAU
rnacentral:rRNA from 1 species